CAGUCGCCGCGGUAAUACGGAGGGGGCUAGCGUUGUUCGGAAUUACUGGGCGUAAAGCGCACGUAGGCGGCUUGGUAAGUUAGAGGUGAAAGCCUGGAGCUCAACUCCAGAAUUGCCUUUAAGACUGCCGAGCUAGCAGGUGAGAGAGGUAAGUGGAAUUCCGAGUGUAGAGGUGAAAUUCGUAGAUAUUCGGAAGAACACCAGUGGCGAAGGCGGCUUACUGGCUCAUACUGGACGCUGAGGUGCGAAAGCGUGGGGAGCAAACAGGAUUAGAUACCCGAGUAGUCCCUGUCUCUUAUAA
rnacentral:rRNA from 1 species